GACGAACGCUGGCGGCGUGCUUAACACAUGCAAGUCGAACGGAAAGGCCCUGCUUUUGUGGGGUGCUCGAGUGGCGAACGGGUGAGUAACACGUGAGUAACCUGCCCUUGACUUUGGGAUAACUUCAGGAAACUGGGGCUAAUACCGGAUAUGAGCUCCUGCUGCAUGGUGGGGGUUGGAAAGUUUCGGCGGUUGGGGAUGGACUCGCGGCUUAUCAGCUUGUUGGUGGGGUAGUGGCUUACCAAGGCUUUGACGGGUAGCCGGCCUGAGAGGGUGACCGGGCACAUUGGGACUGAGAGACGGACCAGACGCCUACGGGCGGCAGCAGUGGGGAAUAUUGCACAAUGGGCGGACGCCUGAUGCAGCAACGCCGCGUGCGGGAUGACGGCCUUCGGGUUGUAAACCGCUUUCGCCUGUGACGAAGCGUGAGUGACGGUAAUUGGUAAAGAAGCACCGGCUAACUACGUG
rnacentral:rRNA from 1 species